UGCCUUGCCUCCGUGUGAUACAGUGAUUUCACUAGCUGGAUUGAUCACUUUGGGUACUGCAACUCCUAGAGAGAAAUGGGAUGGAGGGCAUCUGAAUCUUCACCCCCUAUAGAUAAACUUGUGUUGCACCCCAAUUUUUGUGAGAUUUUAGCGUCGAAACUGGGAGAAAUAGGAAUGGCUGUAGAGGAACUUCAGUCUAUAAUAAAGAGAUGUCAAAUCCUAGAAGAGCAAGACUUUAAAGAAGAGGAUUUUGGCCUAUUUCAGUUAGCUGGGCAAAGAUGCAUAGAAGAAGGGCACAUAGACCAGCUAUUAGAAAUUAUUCAAAAUGAAAAGAAUAAGGUCAUCAUCAAGAAUAUGGGCUGGAAUCUCAUUGGUCCUGUUGUUCGAUGCCUUUUGUGUAAAGAUAAAGAGGAUGCUAAAAGAAAAGUUUGCUUUUUGAUCUUUGAUUUAUUAGUAAAGUUAUGCAAUCCAAAGGAAUUAUUGUUGGGUUUGCUUGAACUGAUUGAAGAGCCCUCUGGAAAACAGAUAUCCCAAAGUAUUCUUCUUUUGCUUCAGCCAUUACAAACAGUGAUUCAGAAACUUCAUAACAAGGCAUAUUCAAUUGGAUUAGCAUUGUCUACCCUUUGGAAUCAGCUAUCUCUUCUUCCUGUUCCAUACACAAAAGAACAAAUACAAAUGGAUGACUAUGGCCUUUGUCAGUGUUGCAAGGCCUUAAUAGAGUUCACUAAGCCUUUUGUGGAAGAAGUCAUUGAUAACAAAGAAAACUCACUGGAAAAUGAAAAGUUAAAGGAUGAAUUACUGAAAUUUUGUUUCAAAAGCUUGAAAUGCCCUUUGCUGACAGCACAAUUCCUUGAACAGUCUGAAGAAGGUGGAAAUGAUCCUUUCAGGUAUUUUGCAUCAGAAAUAAUAGGUUUUUUAUCAGCAAUUGGACACCCUUUCCCCAAAAUGAUUUUUAAUCAUGGAAGGAAAAAGAGAACUUGGAAUUACCUUGAAUUUGAAGAAGAAGAAGAUAAACAGUUAGCAGACUCAAUGGCUUCUCUGGCAUAUCUAGUAUUUGUACAGGGCAUCCGUAUUGAUCAGCUUCCAAUGGUCUUAAGCCCAUUGUACCUUUUGCAGUUUAAUAUGGGGCAUAUUGAAGUCUUUUUGCAAAGAACAGAAGAGUCUGUUAUCUCCAAAGGAUUGGAGCUGCUGGAGAAUAGUUUAUUGAGAAUAGAAGACAGUAGUCUACUUUACCAGUACUUAGAAAUCAAGAGUUUUCUUACUGUACCUCAGGGCUUAGUGAAAGUAAUGACACUUUGUCCCAUUGAGACACUGAGGAAAAAGAGUUUAGCUAUGCUUCAGCUGUAUAUUAACAAGUUGGAUUCACAAGGCAAAUAUACAUUAUUUAGGUGCUUAUUGAAUACAAGUAAUCACUCAGGUGUGGAGGCUUUUAUUAUUCAAAAUAUCAAAAAUCAAAUUGACAUGUCAUUAAAGAGAACACAUAACAACAAGUGGUUUACAGGACCACAGUUGGUUUCCCUUCUUGAUUUGGUACUUUUUCUUCCAGAGGGUGCAGAAACAGAUUUACUGCAAAACUCAGAUAGGAUUAUGGCUUCAUUAAAUUUAUUGAGGUAUUUGGUUAUCAAAGAUAAUGAAAAUGACAAUCAAGUAAGUGGAGUAUUUGAAAAGAAACUACUGGAUUAUGGACAGAACUUGGAAAUAUUGAGAAUAAUUUCUUAAAGCCACUUCAUAUAGGACUUAAUAUGUCAAAAGCACAUUAUGAAGCAGAAAUUAAAAAUAGCCAAGAGGCCCAGAAAUCUAAAGAUCUUUGUUCUAUAACUGUAGGUGGAGAAGAGAUCCCUAAUAUGCCUCCUGAAAUGCAGCUUAAGGUCCUACAUUCAGCUCUUUUCACAUUUGAUUUGAUUGAAAGUGUUCUAGCUCGAGUGGAAGAACUCAUUGAAAUAAAAACAAAGUCUACCUCUGAAGAAAAUAUUGGGAUAAAGUAAAGUUCUACUUCCUAAAUAAAAACUAAUAAAAUAGAGUAAAAACUAAUAAAAUAGAGUAUUUUCCAUUAUGAUUUAUUUAAUACCAUUAUAAAAUUUUUCUGCAAAAAUUUACUGCUUGAAAAAUAAAUGUAGCUUCUCUCAUUUAUCAAUUUCUAUAAUGAUAUACUAUAGAACAGUUUUUUUGUUGUUUUAAAGUUAUCUAAUGGUAAAUAAUGCCCACAUAUGUCCUAAAUACUAUUUUUGAAAAUCCAAUACAAACUAAUAAUUUUGUAACUUCAUAAAAUGUAAUUGAAUUGUCUAUAUUCAUUCCUACAGUUUUAGUGAGCUUAUAAAAAUAGUGAUACAUUUUCUGCUGAAGUUAGAUGCUAUGUAACAUUUCGGAACUCCUAGUGUCAAGUUGGCUAUCACACCAGUGUAAAUGAGUAGAAAGUUUUGAAUUCAGGCCAGUUGACUUUUUUCUUAGCUUCUCUUUUCCUGGCUUAGGUGGAGUCUUUGGGAGCAGAGUCCCAUCACCACCUCUCCAGCAGAAGUUAUAAUAGGAAAACAUCUGCAAAGAUUAGUUUUAGAAAUACUUGCUACCUUUAUGGAAAAAAAACUAAAAAAUACAUAUGAUUUGAAGAAACUGAUUAGAAAAUUAUGUAUUUUUAUUUCCUACUAAAUACUUGUCCAUCUAAGAAGCUACACCUGAGUUUUAUGAUAUAUGUAUGUACCAAUCCUUUGCUAAACAGCGUUAAAUCUCACAGCGAAACUCCUAAAAUAAAAUCUUUUAAUUGUAUACAUGCUAUUUCAAAUUAAUAUGUCUUUAAAUAGAUAUUUGAUUAUAAUUUAACAGUUCUAAUUAUUUUCACAUUCUUUGAGAAGAGCAUUAAGUUGGUACUCUAAUUUGGGUUAACUGAAUCACUAUUCAGUUGUAUCUUCUGAAGUGUUUUCCAAACAGGACUUUGCUCAAUGAUGUAAGCUUUAGCUGUUAUCAUUCUGUAGCAAAUGCUAUCUAUGUAUGGUUUGGAGGUAGUCUGGAAGAAGAUACAAAGAUGCAGCAUUAUUUACAGAAAUAAGAUACUUUUACAGGGUCACAUUUAAAAAUAAAUAACUUUCAUUCUUUCA